GAUGAACGCUGGCGGCGUGCCUAAUACAUGCAAGUCGAACGAAACUUCUUUAUCACCGAGUGCUUGCACUCACCGAUAAAGAGUUGAGUGGCGAACGGGUGCUUACCACGUGGUCAACCUGCCCAAAAGAGGGGGAUAACACUUGGAAACAGGUGCUAAUACCGCAUAACCAUAGUUACCGCAUGGUAACUAUGUAAAAGGUGGCUAUACUACCGCUUUUGGAUGGGCCCGCGGCGCAUUAGCUAGUUGGUAGGGUAAAGGCUUACCAAGGCAAUGAUGCGUAGACGAAUUGAGAGGCUGAUAGGCGACCUUGGGACUGAGACACGGCCCAAACUACUACGGGAGGCAGCAGUAGGGAAUCGUCCACAAUGGGCGAAAGUCUGAUGGAGCAACGCCGCGUGGGUGGAGAAGGUCUUCGGAUCGUAAAACCCGGUUGUGAGAGAAGAAAGUGCGUGAGAGUAACUGUUCACGUUUCGACGGUAUCUAACCAGAAAGCAACGGCUAACUACGUG
rnacentral:rRNA from 1 species